rnacentral:rRNA from 1 species
GAUAAACGCUGGCGGCGCACAUAAGACAUGCAAGUCGAACGAACUUAAUACCUUGCUUGCAAGGUAAGCGGUUAGUGGCGGACUGGUGAGUAACACGUAAGAAAUCUGCCUAUCAGAGGGGAAUAACAGUGAGAAAUCAUUGCUAAUACCGCAUAUGCCAUAGGAAUCGCAUGAUUCUAGUGGGAAAGGAGUAAUCCGCUGAUAGAUGAGCUUGCGUCUGAUUAGCUAGUUGGUGGGGUAAAGGCCUACCAAGGCGACGAUCAGUAGCCGGACUGAGAGGUUGAACGGCCACAUUGGGACUGAGAUACGGCCCAGACUCCUACGGGAGGCAGCAGUCGGGAAUAUUGCGCAAUGGAGGAAACUCUGACGCAGUGACGCCGCGUAUAGGAAGAAGGUUUUCGGAUUGUAAACUAUUGUCCAUAGGGAAGAUAAAAGACUGUACCUAUGAAGAAAGCUCCGGCUAACUACGUGCCAGCCGCCGCCGUAA